UACGAAGGGGGCUAGCGUUGCUCGGAAUCACUGGGCGUAAAGCGCACGUAGGCGGCUCUCUAAGUCAGGGGUGAAAUCCCGGAGCUCAACUCCGGAACUGCCUUUGAUACUGGGAAGCUCGAGUUCGGGAGAGGUGAGUGGAACUGCGAGUGUAGAGGUGAAAUUCGUAGAUAUUCGCAAGAACACCAGUGGCGAAGGCGGCUCACUGGCCCGAUACUGACGCUGAGGUGCGAAAGCGUGGGGAGCAAACAGG
rnacentral:rRNA from 1 species